GAAAAAUCACAUAAAUGAUUUGCCCCUGAARAAGACUCCGCUGUGUUCCUAGGGAAGUGCUGCAAUGAGGGGUUGUCUCCAAGGCCAGGGAGAUGGUCCUUUCACAGCCUCCCGGCCCGUCGCUGCCCAGCUGUCUGCAGGCAGAGGCGGAGGCUGUGUUUGAACAUCUCUACAAGGAUGUAGCCCAGCUGGGCCUCGCACGCUUUCUGGAGCUGUUUCUCUUUUCAGCAAAGCCCGCACCAGCACUGGAAACAGGACUGUGGAUGCUCCUCCAUGCUUCCAGCRGCUGGGGAUGUGCGGGGUUACAGGGACUAGCAGCAUCCACGGGGAACACUGUGUCGUGUGCACGCAAAGGGCGGCUUGAGGGAAGUUGGCAUGUGGAGACUUAAUUCCCAGCCCACAGCUUCCCAGGUGACGUGUACAUUGCCCAUUUAAACCCCACUUGGCUUGUCACCCCUUUCAGUUCAUCUAGAGACUAAGCAGGUAGGAGGAAGUAAUCUCUAAAAGCGUAAGUGAAACCUCCCAUCGAGGGUGUGCACAAGCGAGCUGGAUGGGCAGGAGGAAAUAUUUGCAUUUACCUCAUCAAAACCUGAGUAUAAAUAGGCUGGAAAAUGUGAGACUUUCUCAAUUCCCAGGUGCAGGUGUGCGAAGCAGAGACAUCAAAGUGGAUCAUGGCCUCUCUCCUCUUCAUGCUGCAACUCCUCUUCCUUGGGACUCUAAUCGUCCCGGCAUAUUUGCAGAUGCAAGGAUGCGAUUUCCUCCCAAACGUGACGGCAGGCAAUUUCUCCCUAUCUGUGAUACCUGAGACAUAUGCGGCGAACACAACCUACACAGUUCAAGUAAGUGACAGCAGAAACUUAACUGGUGAGAAAAAUGUGAUUGCGGUUUUGCUGCAAGCCUUAUCCUCCCAAAACAUUUCCGUGGGAGAAUGGAAGGACACAGGCCAUGAAAACUGCAGUGGUAUUUCUACAGCAGUAGUAAAUGCCACUAACACAACAGCAAAUUGGACAUCCCCAAGCAGUAACAUCACUUCUGUGGAAAUAAGGGCAUAUAUCCUCUUUUCUGAUAACACCACUGAGCUCAACACGGUGACUCUGAAUGAAAAAGAGGCGAACGCGACGACAGCACCACCAACCAGCACCCCCAACUCCAUCUCUGCGGUUCAGAGCAGCACCAYCUUUGUAGCCAUCGCACAAGUGGUGCUGCUGUUUGUCACAAGCAAACUGCUCUCCUAGAAGUCGGGGAGAGGAAACGACCCGGCUGUGCUGCACCUUUCCUCCUUGCCUUCAGCACGUGUGGGAGGGCRGGCAGCUGAUCUACUCAGGAAAACUAUUUUCUUCAUGUAUUAGGAUGAUGACUGCACCUCUACAUUAAAUUAUAAAGGUCUGUUUGACCAGAGAGCUGAUCCUUCCCUUAUUCCCCUCGUCCAGGGCCAGCACACUUGGUAAGAUGAAAAAUUUCAUAGCAAGUCAGAGCUCACUCUGUUCAGAGCAGCUAGAAAAGCACCGCGUCGCCGAGAGCGGGUCCCCGAUAACCAAGGGGCGCCACGCGAGUUAAUUCCUCCCUCAUCACCUGGGCUUCUGUGAAGCACGAAAAAAGCAUGAAAAUGCCUGCGAGAGGGCAAAGGCCCUCCUCUCGUCAGGGUACUGGCGUCUGUUGAGAAGCUCCAGGAGAAGCCUGCUCUCAGCUGCGUGGCCUGGGACCCACGCUCACAGCCUGUGUGCACGAGAGCGAGUGUUGGCAUGUGUGCGCACACCUCAACGGCAGUGUCGCACAGUCGCCCGUGGUAUGGUAAUCAAAACAGGGAGACGAAUCGGGAAUGGGGGGGAGGAAGGGGAAAUACGGGUUUCAGAUUCACCUGACUCAGCCAAGUUAAAACCUCCAGGGCAUGCACAGAAGAAAUAGAUGUGCCCACCAACCCUUCCCAAGACAAGCCGGAGAUCCCGCUGGCAGGGUAUCCUCCACAAAGGCCCUGGGCCUUGCGAGCUUAUUUUUCAUACUGCUCUUUAGUCCAGCAUCACCUGAAUCUUGUUAUUUCUCUGGAUGCCCUGUAAGGUUCCCCUGUUCUUGUUCUGGAAUGGGCGGGUGGGUAUUUCUUAUUUUUUAUUUUUUUUAAAAAAAAAUCAACAGCUGAUUUUGCUUUAGGGCAAGAUUGGAUGGGCCACUGAAUGUCUUGAUUUUAUUAUAUUUGUUUGUAUUUUUAUAAGGAUAAUGUUUAUCUGGGAAUUUUCAAGCUUCUGGAAGAUAAUUUUUCUUAAACUAAUCUGAAUAAAUUAAGGAACGAAAGUUGGCUAUUGCA
rnacentral:lncRNA from 1 species